ensembl:lncRNA
UGUUAUAUUUUUAGAGAAGCUUUCAGAAGCCAUGCUCAGGUGAAAGUGAGACACAGGAGACUCUCUCAAGCUGCAACUGUGAAGGAUUUUCCCAAGCAAACUAAUUAAAGCCUCCAUUCACCGUUCACUUUCACUGCCAGAACAUUCUGCCCCAAAUCUUUUGUCUUCUACGAAAGAAAGAGAAAACAUGUUUGGAACGACAUGAGGGUGGACAACAAAUUGAUGAUGAUUAGGGUGAGUAUAUGAUGACAGAAUUUUCUUUUUUGGGAUGAACUAUCCCUUUAACAUCUAUAUAUUCCUAUAAUAUUUAUAUGAAAUAUUAGCAAAUUGUCACACACUCUUCCUUAUAUGUAGUGCAAAAUGUUGUGGGUAAUAUUAGCAUGC